GACACUUGUGACGUCAGGUACAUACGGGACUUUGGAGGCGGGUUUUGGCGGGAAAAUCUGUAAUGUUUGGAGAAGACAAGAUGGCGCUGGUUACUUCGUGUUAUGUCAAAGGGCAUUUUUGUUCACAAAUACCCGCUUUUUUACGUUAUAGCGACUGGUUAGUUUUGGAAAUUAUAACUCAAUUGAUGGGGAAAACGAUCCUGUAUUAAAGAGAAAAGGAUGUGCAGUUAUUGUGAUGUUAUUUGUUGUGAAAGACUGCCCGAAAUGUCGCUACUUCGCUGUACUGGUUGAUAAAACAUUUACAAGCAACAGCAAUUGAACUAUGUCACAAAGAAACCAAUGUGUACAAGCCAAUCAAGUUCUUCAGUUUAAAGGUCAGUUUACUUUUUAAUAAUUAGUUCAUUUAGUUGUAUAUUAAUACGAAGUACUGGAACAGUAGGGCCAAGUUUGAUUUGCUAUAUUUGUACUGACUACUGUAGUUGGAAUACUUAAGAUGAGGUAUAGAUAAACAGACCCCAACCCCUUCCCUAACCAAUAAAUGUGUAAUGAACUAUUUGAGAGUUAAAAAAGGUUGGCAGGGAAAAUUUACAAAUAUUUUAAGAAACAUUUCUACGGGGCUGUUUAUAUGGAAGCAGGGCUGGCCCGCUAUUAAAACGAGAUAGAGAUAGCCCGGUAAGCGGGAUGAAUUUUGCUUGCGUUUAUGAGGAGAUUUUAUCCUGCUUGCUGGGCUAGAAAUCAUUUACAUUGCACUCAAUUGGCUUUCCCGGGGCAAAUGUCAAAAUCAAUUUUUGCUUCAAACUCGCUAAUUUGUAAACAUUACAGCUAGGCCAAAUAAAAAAAUAUGUGGGUUUCCAGUUUCCCGACCCUACCUAGCUUUUGGACGUCGAAAUCCCGACCCUAAACUUUUUUAUUGGAUCACGCUUGUAAGUGUUUCCACUUAGAGCAAAACGUUUGUGGAAAAUGAAAAUUUGAGGCAAUAUUAGGGAAAUUUAUGUUUGGAUGUGGAAGCACUGACUAAACAAAAUGGUGUCCGGUUGUUAGGAAAAUAAAAAAAAGUUAAAACCAACCUACCCUACCUAAGUUUUUACAAUAGGAAACCGGAAACCCACAUUUUUUUGGCCCUAUUGAAGCACAGCUUAAAGACAGGAAGUUUUACCUUGCAGUUUGAUCGUUGAAACGCACAAGUUACCAAGGGCAAAUUCAUGGGAAAUUUAGGCACUUUCGGUCAAUGGGUUGUUCCAGAAAAGAUCCAUAUCCCCCAUGCUGUCCGAAGGGGGAGUCUUAGGGGGUCCAAAGGGGGGGGGGAAUGCGGAUAUAAGUUUGUCCGAAGGUUUUAGACAGUGAUAAAGCUAUGUGAUCGGCGAUUAUAAUGAGCACGCAAUUUUUAUUGGCUAUAGCCCUUAAAAACUGGAACGUUUAUGUAACAGCAAUAAUUAUACGUCCACGUAACUCGUAAGCAAAAUAGCGGCCCACUUUUGCAUGCAUGGCCACCAAAAACUAACUCGCUGUAACAGUGUAUCCUGCAUGUUGAGAAUGAGUCGAAAAUUUACACACUUUAUUUAUAUAAAAGUAAAGUUUUGCAGUUUUUGUAUGUAUAAGUUUGAAUUAUUCAAGUGUUAAAAAUAAUAGUUAUUAAACUGUUGCUUGAAUUAAGAGACUGCUAUGUGAACUGAACUCAAUAUUUAGAAUAUUUAGUUUUAGUAUAUAGUCAAUAAAGCUUCCUUGCGAGGUGUGUGCCUAGAAAAUAGAAAUGGCUGUCAUAUUAAAGGCGAGGUUAAGGAAUGCAGUAAUAUUAAAAAUGCAUUAACAUGUAAGUAAACACAGCAACGCUUGUCAAUCAGUCCGCAAGUUUCAUUGAAUUUCAGUCCGAAUUUUACUUGAUCGAAUUUCGAAGUGAAUUUCUGCAAAUUAUCCGACAAAAUCUGCCAUGUGUUUGUGUUCACAAGAGGCCGCCAAGUGUUCCACCACGCCGGAGCUAUUUGAAAACAGCGUAGAAAAGUCGCAAUAAGCCAUCGCUUUCACACUACGCUGGAGCGAAAUCGUUUGAAAACUUUCGCAUCACUUUUGGCGUAACAAUUUGAGCACGGUUUCUAAACGGAGCGAGGUGAGUGCUUGAUAGCUUUGUGUGAACACAAACGUGUAAACUCGAAUGCUUUUCAGUUAAAUUUCUUGGCUCUAUUUGAAAUAUUUUGGGUUUACAUGAGUGCUAAUUUAAUUUGUAAACACUGUAGGGGGGUAUGGAUCUUUUCUGGAAUGACCCAAUCACAUAAUUUCUGCGCCUUCUUCACUAUGAUUGGCUGAACGUGCCUAAAUUUCCAAUGAAAACAUUCGCAUUUCUGCUUGAAUUUGCCCUGGGUAACUUGUGCGUUUCAACGAUCAAACUGUGCAGCAAAACUUUCUGUCUAUGAAAAAUAAUCGCAGAAAAGACUUAGAACUAUUGAAAAUGUUUCAUCCCGGCAACCGGGCCGUCUGCUUGCGAGUGAUUAUAUGGGGACAUUUUCAUUUGCAAGUGUUUAUAUGGGGGAAAUUUUCACCCCGGUUGUCCAUAUAAAUGCACAGGAAUUUUUAAAUUCUACUACACUGCGAGAUCUCGCUAAUUGGGCUGCCUUGCCAAGCGGGCCAGCCCGGCUCCAAUAUAAUCAGCCCCUAAGUCAAACAGAAAACCGAUGGCUAAAACAAAACCUGACCCCCAACCUCGUUUCACUUUGCAUGCAUGCAACGCCUUUGCCAAAUACGCUACCAGGCUGAAAGCUGUUGCAAAAAACUGUUUUAUAUUACUACUUUACAAAAUGUAAUAAUUGGAUGCUAUACUUCAGUGCGAUUAUUAGUUCGAUAUUAAUAAUUAUUUAUAAGCACUAUUAUACAAGAAAUGUCAAGAAUGAAUUUUCCUUCAAUGGUUGCUUUUUAUCGGUCAAAAGUUUAAUAUAGUUUUGACGAGAGAAAUGUUUCUCAACAAUUUUCAGAAAGUUUUACAAGAUUUUGGGGCUUGUUUUGAAUUGGGCUAUUCCAUUUAAAAGACGUAACCCGUAUGGUUUUACCAUAUUCCUGAAGAAUUCUUGACAUAAAAGAGAUCCCCUGAAGAAUUCCUGUUAAUUAAAUAGCAUUUACCCCUGAAGAAAUCAACAUUUACCCCUGAAGAAUUACAAUUUUUACAUCUGACCCCUAAGGAAAUUGCAUUGGAAAUAACCAACCCCUGCAGAAUUCCACAGGAGAAUUUGUUUACCUAUGAGGUUAGGUAAAAAGGGAGGUUAUUGAUAUUAACCCAUUAAGCGCCAGCGCUCUCCCCUUGACGAGUAAAAUCAUCUGGCGUUACACAGAGUAAAAUACUAAAGUAGGGUGCAACAGGGUGCAAUGCGACUCAAUGGGUUAACUAGACACAUGGGCAGAUAGACUGAGUUAACCCAUUACGCACCAGUGCUCUCCCCUUGACAAGUAAAAUCGUCUGGCGUUAGACAGAGUAAAAUACUAAAGUAGGGUGCAACAGGGUGCAAUGCGACUCAAUGGGUUAACUAGACACAUGGGCAGAUAGACUGAGUUAACCCAUUACGCACCAGUGCUCUCCCCUUGACAAGUAAAAUCGUCUGGCGUUAGACAGAGUAAAAUACUAAAGUAGGGUGCAAUGCGACUCAAUGGGUUAAAUGGAAUAGCCCAAUUGUCUGGACAAUUUCCUGGUUGUUUUCCUUGCAGCUUGUUUAUAAACAUGAUAAUUUUCCAGAAUUCUUGUCUGGUUCAAUAGAAAUUUUAUUUCCCAAAGUUUUGAAAUAAACAGAAGUGCAGAAAAUUUAUUUAUUGAAUGUUCUCUGACUAAAUAUUUAUUUCUACGAGCUUUCGGCUAUCAGUCUAUAGCCUUCGACGGGUGUAUACAAAUGAUUCUAUAAAGGUCUGUUGGCUUACAUAUUAUUAACACUGAUGAACAUCCGGGCUUACGGAUCGAAAGCUUUGCAGUAAUAAAUUUACGUGGUGUUUCCACAAACAAAACUAUUAUAUGUUUUAUCGCCAUGCAAACAUACAAAGAACUUGUUGUGGGACAACUUUUUUACUGAAGUUAUACAUCUGUCUGCACUUAAUCUGUGGCUCCGCUGGCUAGAUCUUAUGUUUCGGUCAUUUUAUAUUUGCCAAUAUAAAUCUUAUUGGCAUCAGGCCUUAAAAUAUCGGUCAGUCACGGACAUUGUCCGACCCCUUCUUGAAAUUGUCCGACGUAGAGAGGAAACCACCGGACAUUCUGUCCGACCGAACUGUAGCUUUCGACCGAACUGUAGCUUUCGUCCGACCCUAGCCCAGGACUAGAGGCUUGUAUGUUAAAUGGGAAAUCAGAGUACUAUUGUAUAAAAGGUGAACUGGAAAUGUUUUAACGUAGCCCAGCGCGGGGCGGCGAGCGAAAUGGUGAAGUGGAAAACGGGCUUAAGUUGUCGAAGUCUUUUUUAUAAUACUGCUGUUCUGGCAAGCAAGUUAAUUUUGGCUUGGAAAUAAGUAUGAAAGAAACAAAUUAUUUAAUAUCUUUACAACAUUUACCGUUUAUUCAUUUGUGUCAUUCAGACUUAUUUCCGAGCCAAAACUGAACUGAAGGUCAUCGGACAUAUGUCCGACCCAAACUCAACCUCACCGGACAUUUUGUCAGACGGCCCUGUAAAAUAUAUUUUAAGGCCUGAUGCCAAGAAAUUAUACAUUUGGAAUUAUAAUAAUUUUGUAUGCUGCAUUCAAUCUAUUCUCCAUUCUGGGAGAUUCUUUUGUAAAUACCGACACCAAUCAGAAGUAUGUAUUUUUAUGCUAAAACAGAAAUUGGCAUCCCAGAGAGUAAAUUAUAUUCAAGUUUAGGGCAUGUUGCAGCUCUAUAUCUUGCCGUUGCAAGUUGCUUUGUGUUUGAUGUUUGUUCUGGGAUAAAAUAUUGAAUUAUACCUUAAAUUAAUGUUUUGUGAAAUUUAGUUUAAAUUGGUAGAGAUAAAUGCAUAAAGCACAGGGUAUUUUGAAGCUAAAUUUGUUUUAAAAUUCAUCAUUUUAGUGAAAUGGUGUGGAACACAAUGUGUUCUUUUCUGCUCGUCCUGGUUGUUGCAAGGAGACAUCGGGCAUUGUAAUGAAUGGAUGACAAUGCGUUGCUGGCAAACCUACACCAUCUGCAUUUUCUUGGUGGAUAUCUUGGGGAAAUGUGCAAUAUGAUGAGGGAUAUCUUGGGCAAAUAUGUUGUAUAAAUUGGCACGAUUACUUACCUUAAAUUACUAAUGAAGGAUGAUGUUGUAAGGUUAGUGGAUAUUUAUAAUAGUGAUAAAAUGGGGGUUCCCUGUGAAUAGGAACGAAGUAAGGCUGCCCAAUUAAGUGGAAACAAUAUUGCGGAGUGUAACAAUCGAAAAAUAUGGCGGACUGAAAUCUGAUGCAUGUUUAAUUAAAACAUGCAAAAAUUGCGGCAUAAAUAUAUCACAAAACAUGCUUCUUACAACUACAUGCUAUGUUCAUAGGAAUUUGAAUAAGUUUUUAGUAGGCAUGAUUUAGGAUUUAUUUUCAUAUAUGAUUUUCUAUAAAUGCCCCAACUAGUUUAUAUAUAAUACCGUAAUGUAUAAUAUAUAGAUUGUAAAUUUUUUGAUAUAGAAAAAAUAGAGUUCUUAUACAACUACAUGCUGUGUUGGGUUGUUAGGGUUGAAUAAGUUUUUAGUAGGCAUGAUUUAGGAUUGUUUUUAUUUAUGAUUUUCUGUAGACUUAUUAUCCAAUCAGGUGUGUUACUUUAAAUAGAACUUAUUGUAUAUAAACAAGGUCAAUAGACAACGUUUGGGACAACAUUGCUUUCUUUAAUGUAUAGCAUAAUUUGUCUUCGUCAUUCUGUGCACAAUGAAGUAUUCAAGGCAAAUAAAAUAUGCAAGCAUUAAAUAUUUCCUGCAUUAUUUCUCAAUCCUUGCUCAAUGACGAAAACAUACUUAAGUAAUUAAAUUAAAUUUGUAAUAUAGGAAAAAAUAGAUUUUCUGUAAUAUAUACGUAUCUGAAACAACUACAUGCUAUGUUGAUAGGAAUUUGAAGUUUUUAGUAGGCAUGAUUUAGGAUUUUUGUUUCUAUUCAUGAUUUUCUAUAAAUGGUUGCCCACCUAAUUUGAGAUAUGAUAUGAAUUUAUGAUAUCUUUAUCACAUAAAAGAGUGGCAGUGUCAUCACAACAGUAUAAAAACCAAUUACUACUGUGGGCUCUAUUUUACAAAUACUAUAUAAAUAUACAAUAACAUUUUUUUAAUAUAACAUUUUUUCCCUAAUUUUACAACUGUAUACAGUUGUAAAAUUUGUAACGUCUCUCUGGAGCAGGGGGUGAGCGGAGGUGAGACACUGGGAACAAGGAUGGGCUCAUAUUCGUUCUUAAGAGUUUUUUGUUGGGCAUAUAGAGAGGGGAACUCAUAUAUGGGGGGGGGGGAUUCAAAUGUUACAUGUCAAAAUCUAAGUUAGUCCUUUAUGAACAUUUUUGAGGGACACCCGGGAUACAUUUCUAACAGUCUUCCUUUGUAAAGCGAUGAUUGGGCUAAGAAAAUUUCAAUAUGUCAUUGCUGUUGAAAUGACUUAAUACAUCGCUAAUAAUGCUAAAGCUUAUGUUGCUGAUAAUAUACCAUCCAGCAUCUAUUUUUGACAAAAUUGUUGCACAAACCAUAUUCCAAUGUUUGCGAUUUGACCAUAUGGCUGUCAAAAACGCCCAGAUUAGUUAGAUUAUUGUUUUCUAAAACAUUGCGCGGCUCGUGAUUUUAGAACUCUUUUUAUGCUUUAACCAAUUGAGUGGCAGCACUCUCCACUUGACAAGUAAAAUCCUGUGGCGUUAGACAGUAAAAUACUAAAGUAGGGUGCAUCUGGGCGCAAUGCAACUUAAAGGGUUAAAUUAACCAAAAAAAGUUCAUACAUUUGUUUGAAAAGAUUUUCACACAGUACCAUGCCUGUUUGUAUUUUGAAGUUCCUUGAGUUACACAUGAUACUGCAUGUACAUAAAUAUAUACGAAGAACGUAACCCCUGGGGGGAAUAAAAUCCUGUAGGGAAUCACCUCCAGACCAAUUUACACUCACCUGCGACAAAAUAGGGAGGUUGUGUGCUUGUUUUGCACAGUGCAACUCAAGUUGUAAGCAUCUUGCAUGGGACCAUCUGAUGCACAAAACUUUCCUCUUGAUGAGUAAAAUGAUCUAAUAUCAGAACAUUUUUGUUCCUUUGCAGCUUACGGAGUUAAUCCUAUUUAUGCCAUAGCUUUCCACGAGCACAAGUAGUGUUAGAUUAAUUUGCCAUGUAAUACAAGUGGAAAUAUAAGACAGAAAUAGGUAUAACUACAUGAAGAAACAAAAUGGCGGGUUCUGAAGAGGUCUAACGACGAAACUAGUAAACGCCAAUUAAUAUAACGAGUGUCGAUCGAAGGGAUUUUUAGAACUUUUAGUAUUUUAAACAUUUAGUAUUUUAACAUUUCAUUACGUUUUUAAGUGAUGCUUAGCAAACCUUUCUUGGCUAAAAUUCGCGACAUUUCAACCUAUUUAUCUUAGAGAACAGCAAUUCAACUAUCUGGCUGGCUUGACAAAUAAACUAUACACCAACAAUUUGUGCAAGGCCAUUAAGUGUAUCCUUGGAAAAUUUUCUCUGAGAUUAUGCAGUGAUGCUUACAACUUUUUUGUUUAAGCCUAGUGACUUAUUUCAGUACGUGCAUGAAAAUCAUCCCACCUUUCAUCGUGUCCUGACAAACUGGGAUCAUGUAAACAGCACAUUUAGCCAUUUGCACCCUAAUUUUCCUACUUAAAUUAUUAUUUAACUCUGUCUAACGUCAGACAAUUUUAUUAAGCAGGGGGUGCACUGGCAGUUAAUGAGUAACUAGACACAUAGGCAGUCUCAUUAUGAAGCAUA
rnacentral:lncRNA from 1 species